rnacentral:rRNA from 1 species
AUGAGAAAUUAACGAUUUAAGUCCUUCUUAAAUGAGGCCAUUUACCCAAAGAGGGUGCCAGGCCCGUAUAACGUUAAUGAUUACUAGAUGGCAUUUCCAAAGAGUCGUGUUGCUUGAUAGUGCAGCACUAAGUGGGUGGUAAACUCCAUCUAAAACUAAAUAUAACCAUGAGACCGAUAGUAAACAAGUACCGUGAGGGAAAGUUGAAAAGAACUCUGAAUAGAGAGUUAAAUAGUACGUGAAACUGCUUAGAGGUUAAGCCCGAUGAACCUGAAUAUCCGUUAUAGAAAAUUCAUCAUUAUGAUUAUUAAUAUUUAUAAUAUUAUUAAUAAUGGUGUGCAUUUUUUCUAUAAAGGACAUUGUAAUCUAUUAACAUAAAUUAAUAUUUAUCACAAGAUCAAGUUGCGUAAGUUUAUUCAAAUUAUUUUGCUUGCAAUUUAACAUAGAAUAAAUGCUCUUGAUUUGAUAAAGUGUUGAUAGAUUUAUUAUAUAUAGUGCUUAAAUAUUUAUAUUUUAUAAUAGCAUAUUAAUCAUUGAUUUUUAUGUUUAUUAUAUGCACUUAUAUGAUUAACAAUGCGAAAGAUUCAGGAUACCUUCGGGACCCGUCUUGAAACACGGACCAAGGAGUCUAACAUAUUUGCAAGUUAUUGGGAAUAAAAACCUAAUAGCGAAAUUAACAUAACUUAUAUGAUGGGAUUAGUUUUUAGCCUAUUUAUAGUCUAUUAAUUCAAUCCCGGGGCGUUCUAUACAGUUAUGUAUAAUAAUAUUUAUAUUAUUUAUACCUCUAACUAGAGCGUACCUUGAGCAUAUAUGCUGUGACCCGAAAGAUGGUGAACUAUACUUGAUCAGGUUGA